GGCUGCAGUCACCUCCACUGUCGGGGAGGCUGGGGCCUCCGGAUCUGGUGACUCUGGCCUCCCCGCUAGUGGAUUCGGCUGGCCGC
rnacentral:pre_miRNA from 1 species